CCUACGGGUGGCAGCAGGGGGGAAUAUUGGACAAUGGGGGGAACCCUGAUCCAGCCAUGCCGCGUGUGUGAAGAAGGCCCUCGGGUUGUAAAGCACUUUCAGUGAGGAAGAACGCCUGGUGGUUAAUACCCAUCAGGAAAGACAUCACUCACAGAAGAAGCACCGGCUAACUCCGUGCCAGCAGCCGCGGUAAUACGGAGGGUGCGAGCGUUAAUCGGAAUUACUGGGCGUAAAGCGCGCGUAGGUGGCUUGAUAAGCCGGUUGUGAAAGCCCCGGGCUCAACCUGGGAACGGCAUCCGGAACUGUCGAGCUAGAGUGCAGGAGAGGAAGGUAGAAUUCCCGGUGUAGCGGUGAAAUGCGUAGAGAUCGGGAGGAAUACCAGUGGCGAAGGCGGCCUUCUGGACUGACACUGACACUGAGGUGCGAAAGCGUGGGUAGCAAACAGGAUUAGAUACCCGGGUAGUC
rnacentral:rRNA from 1 species